rnacentral:siRNA from 1 species
CCGGUUCCUUAAAACUCUAGCC